rnacentral:rRNA from 1 species
UUGAAAAGAACUUUGAAGAGAGAGUUCAAGAGUACGUGAAACCGUUCAGGGGUAAACCUAAGAAACCCAAAAGAUCGAACGAGGAGAUUCAUCGUCAGCGUCGCUGGCUUCGCGUCGGUGGGCGAUGGGCGCGCGGUUCCUCCGCGCGUGCACGCUACCGUGCGCGCAUGUCCGGCGUCGCCGUCGUGCACUUCUCCCCUAGUAGAACGUCGCGACCCGCUGGGUGUCGGUCUACGGCCCGAGUGAGGCGGCUGUCGCGUCGCCGGUAAAACGGCGCGCGGCAAACCCUCGGUCGCCCGGCCGGCUGCCCGGCGGUACACGCAAGGUAUCAGGCCGCAGUUCUGUCAGAGUCUGCGUCGAGCCCGUCGCAAGCGCGCGCCACGGUUACUCGGAGGCACGGACCCAGCGCCGUCCCCGGUCCUGGCCCGCUGUUGGCUGACGGUGGCUCCCUUCGACAGGCCUCAGCGGAGCGGGGCCAACCCCCCCGCUCCGUCAUACCGGUCGGCGACGCUACUGCUUUGGGUACUCUUAGGACCCGUCUUGAAACACGGACCAAGGAGUCUAACAUGUGCGCGAGUCAUUGGGACCAGCAAAACCCAGAGGCGCAAUGAAAGUGAAGGUCGGCCCUGGCGCCGACCGAGGGAGGAUGGGCCGCGUCGCGACGCGGCCCCGCACUCCCGGGGCGUCUCGUUCUCAUCGCGAGAAGAGGCGCACCAAGAGCGUACACGUUGGGACCCGAAAGAUGGUGAACUAUGCCUGGUCAGGACGAAGUCAGGGGAAACCCUGAUGGAGGUCCGUAGCGAUUCUGACGUGCAAAUCGAUCGUCGGAACUGGGUAUAGGGGCGAAAGACUAAUCGAACCAUCUAGUAGCUGGUUCCCUCCGAAGUUUCCCUCAGGAUAGCUGGCACUCGGCCGUUCCUCGGAACGCGCGCGAGUCUCAUCUGGUAAAGCGAAUGAUUAGAGGCCUUGGGGCCGAAACGACCUCAACCUAUUCUCAAACUUUAAAUGGGUGAGAUCUCUGGCUUUCUUGAACGUUGAAGCCACGAGAAUCUCGGAUCAGAGUGCCAAGUGGGCCAUUUUUGGUAAGCAGAACUGGCGCUGUGGGAUGAACCAAACGCAGAGUUAAGGCGCCCAACUCGACGCUCAUGGGACACCAUGAAAGGCGUUGGUUGCUUAAGACAGCAGGACGGUGGCCAUGGAAGUCGGAAUCCGCUAAGGAGUGUGUAACAACUCACCUGCCGAAGCAACUAGCCCUGAAAAUGGAUGGCGCUGAAGCGUCGAGCCUAUACUCUGCCGUCAGCGGCAAGUGGGGCGGGGGCUCUGUCCCCGUCACGAAGCUCUGACGAGUAGGAGGGUCGCGGCGGUGUGCGCAGAAGGGUCC